rnacentral:rRNA from 1 species
AGUCGAGGGGCAGCAUUUCAGUUUGCUUGCAAACUGGAGAUGGCGACCGGCGCACGGGUGAGUAACACGUAUCCAACCUGCCGAUAACUCGGGGAUAGCCUUUCGAAAGAAAGAUUAAUACCCGAUGGNAUAAUCAGACCGCAUGGUCUNAUUAUUAAAGAAUUUCGGUUAUCGAUGGGGAUGCGUUCCAUUAGGCAGUUGGUGAGGUAACGGCUCACCAAACCUUCGAUGGAUAGGGGUUCUGAGAGGAAGGUCCCCCACAUUGGAACUGAGACACGGUCCAAACUCCUACGGGAGGCAGCAGUGAGGAAUAUUGGUCAAUGGGCGCAGGCCUGAACCAGCCAAGUAGCGUGAAGGAUGACUGCCCUAUGGGUUGUAAACUUCUUUUAUAUGGGAAUAAAGUUUUCCACGUGUGGAAUUUUGUAUGUACCAUAUGAAUAAGGAUCGGCUAACUCCGUGCCAGCAGCCGCGGUAAUACGGAGGAUCCGAGCGUUAUCCGGAUUUAUUGGGUUUAAAGGGAGCGUAGGUGGACAGUUAAGUCAGUUGUGAAAGNUUUGCGGCUCAACCGGAAAAAUUUGCAGUUGAUACUGGCUGUCUUGAGUACAGUUAGAGGUGGGCGGAAUUUCGUGGUGUAGCGGUGAAAAUGCUUAGAUAUCACGAAGAACUCCGAUUGCGAAGGCAGCUCACUGGACUGCAACUGACACUGAUGCUCGAAAGUGUGGGUAUCAAACAGGAUUAGAUACCCUGGGUAGUCCACACAGUAAACGAUGAAUACUCGCUGUUUGCGAUAUACAGUAAGCGGCCAAGCGAAAGCAUUAAGUAUUCCACCUGGGGAGUACGCCGGCAACGGUGAAACUCAAAGGAAUUGACGGGGGCCCGCACAAGCGGAGGAACAUGUGGUUUAAUUCGAUGAUACGCGAGGAACCUUACCCGGGCUUAAAUUGCAUUUGAAUANUUUGGAAACAGNNUAGCCGCAAGGCAAAUGUGAAGGUGCUGCAUGGUUGUCGUCAGCUCGUGCCGUGAGGUGUCGGCUUAAGUGCCAUAACGAGCGCAACCCUUAUCUUUAGUUACUAACAGGUCAUGCUGAGGACUCUAGAGAGACUGCCGUCGUAAGAUGUGAGGAAGGUGGGGAUGACGUCAAAUCAGCACGGCCCUUACGUCCGGGGCUACACACGUGUUACAAUGGGGGGUACAGAAGGCAGCUACCUGGUGACAGGAUGCUAAUCCCAAAAGCCUCUCUCAGUUCGGAUCGAAGUCUGCAACCCGACUUCGUGAAGCUGGAUUCGCUAGUAAUCGCGCAUCAGCCAUGGCGCGGUGAAUACGUUCCCGGGCCUUGUACACACCGCCCGUCAAGCCAUGAAAGCCGGGGGUACCUGAAGUACGUAACCGCAAGGAGCUCCUAGG